rnacentral:lncRNA from 1 species
AUCUAACAUCCCUGAGGGCUGGAUGGGGCCGAAGAUGGCGGAGCACUAGCAGGCCUGAGCCAUUAAGAGAAGCUGAAGUGUUUUAAGUGCUUUGGGGCAUUUGGAAUCUGAUGUGUCACUGAGACAUCCAGCUGAACACUUCCCAUAGCUGUAGCAUUUUCUGAGUCAAGAAAGAACUGAGGGCUAGAGAGAUGGCUCAGCAGUUAAAAGCACUGACUGCUCUUCCAGAGGUCCUGAGUUCAACUCUCAGCAACCACAUGGUGGCUCACAACCAUCUGUAAUGGGAUCCAAUGCUUUCUUCUGGUGUGUCUGAAGACAGUGACAGUGUACUCAUAUAAAUAAAAUAA